rnacentral:lncRNA from 1 species
UGUGCUUGCAGAUCCCAUUCAUUAUUUAUUUAGAUGAGCAAUUGCAUAUUUCAAUACCGCAUCUCUCAUGUCAUGCUGGGGAUGACAACUUGGCUUAAGUGGUAUGAGGGAUAGGUUUGGCAUUUUUUGCACCGUUAUCAGAAUUAGAAAACUGUCUACUUUUGGUAGUGAUGUUAAGAAUACCCAACAGAGAAUAAUAAUGAACUCAUCUCCUGGGGGUCAGGGUCUUUAUUUAUAGCCCCU